rnacentral:rRNA from 1 species
GUGAAUCAUCGAAUCUUUGAACGCACCUUGCACCCUCUGGUAUUCCGGAGGGUAUGCCCGGUUGAGUAUUAUGAUCAACUCAAGCCUUUGGUUUUCUAAUUGCAAAGGUCAGAUGCUCGGCGAAGCCGUCUGUAGGGACGGUGGUAGCUGAAGUCCGACUUGGAAUUCCUAAUGGCAUUGGACUUGAGCGUGUGUCGGUCUCUAAUUGAGAGAUCGGCUCGCUUGAAAUGCAUUAGCUGGCGACCCGCCUUACGGUUCCACUCGACGUAGUAAGUCUUAUUCGUUGAGGACACUUUCAUCUCGAAGGUGGCCGUUCGGUUGUUGGUAUUACAAGCCGCUUCUAAUCGUCUUAGGACAACUACUUGAACGUUUAAUCUCAACUCGGGUAGGACUACCCGCUGAACUUAAGCAUAUCAAUAAGCGGAGGAAAAGA